rnacentral:rRNA from 1 species
UACGGGGGGGGUAAGCGUUGUUCGGAAUUACUGGGCGUAAAGGGUUCGUAGGUGGCCUGCUAAGUCAGACGUGAAAUCCCCAGGCUCAACCUGGGAACUGCGUCUGAUACUGGAUGGCUUGAAUCCGGGAGAGGGAUGCAGAAUUCCAGGUGUAGCGGUGAAAUGCGUAGAUAUCUGGAGGAAUACCGGUGGCGAAGGCGGCAUCCUGGACCGGCAUUGACGCUGAGGAGCGAAAGCCAGGGGAGCAAACAGG